UCUAGCGAGACUGCCGGUGAUAAACCGGAGGAAGGUGUGGACGAUGUCAAAUCAUCAUGCCCCUUAUGCUCUGGGCUACACACGUGUUACAAUGGGUAGGACAACGAGCAGCCAGCUGGCAACAGCGAGCAAAUCUCUUAAACCUAUUCUCAGUUCGGAUCGUAGUCUGCAACUCGACUACGUGAAGUCGGAAUCGCUAGUAAACGCAGAUCAGCACGCUGCGUUGAAUACGUUCCCGGGCCUUGUACACACCGCCCGUCACACCAUGGGAGCUGAUCAUGCCCGAAGUCGGUGCGUUAACCUUUUAGGAGACAGCCGCCUAAGGUAGGGUUAGUGACUGGGGUGAAGUCGUAACAAGGUAACC
rnacentral:rRNA from 1 species